ensembl:snoRNA small nucleolar RNA SNORD97
UUGCCCAAUGAUUAUAGCAAGACGCGUUAUUAUGAGGACUAAUGCUGGAACUCUUUCUCCUUCUCCUCCUUCUCCUUCUUUGUCCCUUCCUUUUUCACCUUACCCCUCACUUUCCUUAGGGUAUCCAGCGUCCUAUGAGCAAGACUGAGAUAUGAGGGCAA